CAGCUGCUCAUUUGUUGAGGACCGACAGUGAUGGGUGUUCAGGUCACUUCUCUGAGCUGUGUGGUUUCAUGGGCACAGAGCGUUGCUCUGGACUUUGCAUCCUUCGGUCACCAGAGAGCAGAGCCCAGGGGCAGGAAGGGCAGAGACACCAGCAGAAGACAGCUUCUGGCGGGGAGCACAGCCUACCGACCCAGCGGAGAGGGACCAGAGUGCAGAGCCCACAGAGGGGAGAGGUAGAUGAGCAAGUCAGAUGGGACCCGUGGUGCACACCUGUGUGCCUUCCAUCAGAGAGUGGCAAGGCCAGGAUGUGGGGUGCUGUGGCCCUUGCCCUGCUGGCAGACCCUGGGCACAGCACACAGUCACAGAGUGUCAGCAGCAGUACACGACUUUGGGACAGCA